CCUACCUCUGCGUUUCUUCCCUUUUCCACCUCCCUGCCUCCUUCACCAUCCUGACACAGAGAAAACUCCAAGAUGCAAGAGACUGGCUGUUGUCACAACUACCUCACUGGUGCUUAGCAUAGUGUGUAGCCCAUGGAGGAGUUACCUGGACCUGUAUGGACAAGGAAAGAAUGAAAUGCAUUUGGAUUUUACUGCUGGGAAAACAAGGACAGGCAGUCUGAACAGAGUUGUCAUCAUUGUCUAAUUAUUCUUGGGUGUGUACCUGCUUAUUCAAUUUAAGAGAAAGCUCCUGACGUUGCAGAGAAGGUGCUUUUUCAUUUACUAGUAAUUUUUCUAUCUUCCUAUAGAGAAUGGUGCUCUCUUUUUCUCUUCUUUUCUCAGUAGGACCUGAGUAAACACUAAUAGACUCACUGUAACAGGAGUGUAGAACAGAGCCUGGGUUGGCCCCAGGCAAAGUUGCAAAACAGCAGACAUUUAUC
rnacentral:lncRNA from 10 species